rnacentral:tRNA from 1 species
AUUUAUAUAGUUUAAAUAAAACAUUACAUUUUCAUUGUAAAAAUAAAAAAUAUUUUUUUUAUAAAUA